rfam:Rhizoctonia solani AG-1 IA unplaced genomic scaffold scaffold3, whole genome shotgun sequence.
GCCCUUAUAGCACAGUGGUAGUGCGUUGCACUUGUAUUGCGCUUAGUUAGUGAUUAGCUAAUGAUUGCGUAAUGCUAUGCAAAGGUCCAUCGUUCAAUCCGGUGUGAGGGCA